GAUGAACGCUGGCGGCGUGCCUAAUACAUGCAAGUCGAGCGAACAGACGAGGAGCUUGCUCCUCUGACGUUAGCGGCGGACGGGUGAGUAGCACGUGGAUAACCUACCUAUAAGACUGGGAUAACUUCGGGAAACCGGAGCUAAUACCGGAUAAUAUAUUGAACCGCAUGGUUCAAUAGUGAAAGACGGUUUUGCUGUCACUUAUAGAUGGAUCCGCGCCGCAUUAGCUAGUUGGUAAGGUAACGGCUUACCAAGGCAACGAUGCGUAGCCGACCCGAGAGGGUGAUCGGCCACACUGGAACUGAGACACGGUCCAGACUCCUACGGGAGGCAGCAGUAGGGAAUCUUCCGCAAUGGGCGAAAGCCUGACGGAGCAACGCCGCGUGAGUGAUGAAGGUCUUCGGAUCGUAAAACUCUGUUAUUAGGGAAGAACAAAUGUGUAAGUAACUAUGCACGUCUUGACGGUACCUAAUCAGAAAGCCACGGCUAACUACGUG
rnacentral:rRNA from 1 species